rnacentral:rRNA from 1 species
AGCGAACGCUGGCGGCAGGCUUAACACAUGCAAGUCGAGCGGACCUUUCGGGGUCAGCGGCGGACGGGUGAGUCACGUGUGGGAACGUGCCUUCCGGUUCGGAAUAAUCCUGGGAAACUAGGGCUAAUACCGGAUACGCCCUUAUGGGGAAAGGUUUACUGCCGGAAGAUCGGCUCGCGUCUGAUUAGCUAGUUGGUGGGGUAACGGCCUACCAAGGCGACGAUCAGUAGCUGGUCUGAGAGGAUGAUCAGCCACACUGGGACUGAGACACGGCCCAGACUCCUACGGGAAGCAGGAGUGGGGAAUAUAGGACAAUGGGCGCGAGCCUGAUCCAGCCAUGCCGCGUGAGUGAUGAAGGCCUGAGGGUUGUAAAGCGCUUUUAUCCGGGACGGUAAUGACGGUACCGGAUGAAUAAGCCCCGGCUAACUUCGUG